CGUCCGAGUUGUAACCUGAAGGAGCGUUUUCCGCGUCGGACCGUGUACAAGUCUCCUGGAACGGAGCGUCAUAGAGGGUGAGAAUCCCGUCCAUGACACGGACGCCCGGUGCUUUGUGAUACGCUCCCGAAGAGUCGCGUUGUUUGGGAAUGCAGCGCAAAAUGGGUGGUAAAUUCCAUCUAAAGCUAAAUAUUGGCGAGAGACCGAUAGCGAACAAGUACCGUGAGGGAAAGAUGAAAAGCACUUUGGAAAGAGAGUUAAACAGUACGUGAAAUUGUUGAAAGGGAAACGCUUGAAGUCAGUCGUGUCCGCUGGAACUCAGCCUUGCUUCGGCCUGGUGUACUUUCCUCUGGACGGGUCAACAUCAAUCUCAACCGGUGGACAAGGGCGAGGGGAAUGUAGCGCCGCCUCGGCGACGUGUUAUAGCCUCUCGCCGUAUGCACCGGCCGGGAUUGAGGACCGCAGCACGCCCUUUGUGGCCGGGGUUCGCCCACGUACCGUGCUUAGGAUGUUGGCAUAAUGGCUUUAAGCGACCCGUCUUGAAACACGGACCAAGGAGUCUAACAUGCCUGCGAGUGUUCGGGUGGAAAACCCUUGCGCGUAAUGAAAGUGAAAGUUGGGAGCCUCCGCAAGGGGGUGCACCGACGCCCGGCCCUGACGUUCUCUGACGGUGCUGCGGUAGAGCAAGUAUGUUGGGACCCGAAAGAUG
rnacentral:rRNA from 1 species